GGCUCGACUCCAGGCGGGAGGUUGGGUGGGAUCGUGUUCAGAGCCGUCACGUAAUUCGUGUAAUGUCUCACCGUGCUUACCCGGCCUCCGGCUGCUCCUCCAGCGGCCAUUACCGACAUGUUGGAGGGCAAACGCUCAGCCUUCUCCAUCAUUUCCCUGGAAGCGAAAAAAUCCCUCUUUUCUUCUUCCUCCUCUGCCGCUUCCUUAUCCGCCGUCCUCGACCCCUUUCUUCCGGCUACCGAAUCCGCGGCGCAAGAGACCCCCUUCUCUCCCGCCCCCCUCCAUCCAAGAUCUUUCGUCUCGGCCCUCGUGCGAUGUCGAUCUCCGGCAGAGAUCAAGAAGGUUCACGCUUUGGCGACCACUGCCGCGAUGAUCGACGACCUCGGGGUAGCAAACAAACACGUGUACAUCUACGCGCAGCAUGGGGCAUUAGCCGACGCGUACGCUCUGUUUUCUCGGAUGAAGGAACGCGACAACGUGUCUUGGAGUGUGAUCGUAGGCGGGUUUGUGAAGGUUGGGUAUUAUGCCAAUUGCCUGCAAACUUUCCGGGAUUUUGUUCGCUCGGGCUUGCGGAUAGAUAACUUCACUCUGCCUUUCGUCCUGAGGGCGUGCCGGGAUACGGUGUCUCUUCGACUGGGUGUCGAGAUCCACCAUCUUGUUUUCAAGGCUGGGCUGCAGUCGGAUCUCUCUGUCUCGGCAUCUCUCGUUGAUAUGUACGCGAGGUGUGGUGAUGUUGACGAUGCUCGGAAGGUGUUCGAUAGGAUGCCAAAGAGGCAUAUGGUGACUUGGACGGUCAUGAUGUCUGGUUAUGCAGAGUGCGGAAACCCAGAGGAGUCGCUAGCGUUGUUCGAUAGGAUGAGGGGGGAAGGUGUUGUUCCUGAUAAGAUAGCCACAGUGACUGUCGCUUUUGCUUGUGCGAAGCUGGGGGUGAUGCAUAAAGCUAAGAUGAUCCAUGAUUACAUAUCGAGCUGGAAUUUCUCAUUGAAUGUAAUCUUGGGAACGGCACUGAUCGAUAUGUAUGCAAAGUGUGGCAGCGCCGAUGAUGCCAGGGUGAUCUUUGAUCGGAUGAAGGAUAGGAAUGUCAUCAGUUGGAAUUCAAUGAUCUCGGCUUAUGGGAUUCAUGGUCGUGGCAGGGAAGCCCUCGACCUGUUUCCCCUCAUGUUGCAGAGCGGCAUUCGGCCCAAUAGGAUUACCUUUGUUUCCAUCUUGUCAGCUUGUAGCCAUGCAGGCUUAGUUGAUGAGGGUAGGCAGUUUUUCCAUUUGAUGGAGAAAGACUACUCGAUCAAACCUGAUGUGAAACACUAUACAUGUAUGGUGGAUCUUCUUGGACGAGCAGGUAAGCUAUAUGAGGCCCUUGAGUUGUCUGAGAAGAUGACACUAGAAAAAGACGAAGGCUUUUGGGGUGCACUUUUGGGAGCUUGUAGGAUUCAUGGCGAUGCAGUUUUAGCAGAGAAGGCUGCAAUAUCUCUUCUUGAGUUGCGUCCAAGAAAUUCUGGGUAUUACGUUUUGCUCUCCAAUAUAUAUGCCAAUGCUGGUAGGUGGGAAGAUGUAGCCGAGGUAAGGGAUUUGAUGGCCAGCAGGAGUUUGAGGAAGAAACCUGGCUGGACAUGGAUCGAGAUUAAUAACGAGACUCAUCGCUUCGGAGUUGGUGACAAAUCCCAUCCACGAUCAAAGGAGAUCUAUGAGACAUUGAAGGUGUUGAUCGAGAAGUUGGAGUCGGCUGGUUAUGUUCCUGAUACAAACUUUGUGCUUCAUGACAUAGAUGAGGAACUUAAAGCGGGCUUUUUGUACACCCACAGCGAGAAAUUAGCGAUUGCGUUCGGUCUAUUUGCAACACCGGAGAGCACAACACUAAGGAUAACUAAGAACCUCAGAGUCUGUGGAGACUGCCACACAUUUAUCAAGCUGGCAUCAUCUGUCAUGCAUCGGGAGAUUAUAGUUCGGGAUGCGCAUAGGUUUCACCACUUCAACGGAGGAGGAUCUUGUUCUUGCGGAGAUUACUGGUGAUCAACUGAACCUGCGAUAUCGGUAAAUUCAUUUUCUGGUUCAGUUUUUGAUGAUGAGCAUGUGACAACGUAAGGUAAUACAAAUCUUUUAUUGCUAAGGUGACACCAACAUCAUCUCAGACUGAUCUCAUCCUUCCGGAAAGCACCACUUCUGUCAGCGGCAGCCGCCGAUUCACUACCGUUGCUGGCAUUCGAGUGUGUGAAGCCACCAUGGCAGAAUUCUCGGGGCAAAGCGUCUCGGCAGAAUUCUUUACACCAACCCUGCUCACCUGAGCUAUCAUUCAUCGUCAAAGGCUAUCUCGAAGUCGGAUUCAUGGACAGUAUGAAGAGGCGACAUGAUUUUGUUCCCCAAGGGAUCUAUGCUCUGCGGUCGAAGCCCUGCAGUGCCAUUUCUGCUUUUGGAAGUGCAAUCUAUGGCAAUGAUGAGAGAGCACAAUUGCUACAGCAUUCACGACCGAUGUUGCCACCGGUCGGAAGAUCGAAGCUGGUGUUGCAAGUACGUCUCUCUGGCACGAGCCUUUUGUGGAAGAAUUGUGUUACUCUUUCCCCUUCGGAGACCACUGGGUCAUGAGUGUCGAUUGUUUCUUGGGUCAACAAUAUUGCGUAACAUCUGCUGCGACUAAUCUAGCUAGCCAGAUUUUUUCUUGGGUCAACAAUAUUGCGUA